rnacentral:rRNA from 1 species
CCCUUAGAUGUUCUGGGCCGCACGCGCGCUACACUGAUUCAUGCAACAAGUUUUGUCCUUGGCUGAUAGGCCUGGGUAAUCUUUGAACGUGAAUCGUGAUGGGGAUAGAUGAUUGCAAUUAUUCAUCUUCAACGAGGAAUUCCCAGUAAACGCAAGUCAUCAGCUUGCAUUGAUUACGUCCCUGCCCUUUGUACACACCGCCCGUCGCACCUACCGAUUGAAUGGUCCGGUGAAAUCUUCGGAUCUGAGAGAUGUCUGAUUAAUUUCGGACGCCUUUUGGAAAAGUUGCUUAAACCUUACCAUUUAGAGGAAGGUGAAGUCGUAACA